CAGACGGGUGAGUAACACGUGGGUAACCUACCCUCGAGUGGGGAAUAACCCAGGGAAACUUGGGCUAAUACCGCAUACGCCCUACGGGGGAAAGCGGGGGAUCUUCGGACCUCGCGCUAUCAGAUGAGCCUGCGUUAGAUUAGCUAGUUGGUGGGGUAAAAGCUCACCAAGGCGACGAUCUAUAGCUGGUCUGAGAGGAUGAUCAGCCACACUGGGACUGAGACACGGCCCAG
rnacentral:rRNA from 1 species